rnacentral:rRNA from 1 species
ACCUUAAGAAGAGAGAAGUACGAACGUACAGUUAGGAAUAAACGAUGUGUUCUCGACACGAUAUAUACUAUGUGUAUGUGUAUAUGAUAUCGUAUGAACGUUCAUCACCUUAAGAAGAGAGAACUAUGAAAAUCUCCACAUGAUAUAUGGUUACUACCGUAGGGUACUUGUGGUGGUGGUGGAGGAGCCGAAGAGGAGGAGCAGCAGCGGCCACUGAGGGUCGGGGCGGCGGUACCGGUACCGGAAGCUGGUGGUGCCGGAGGAGCGGGAGGUGCUGCUGUACGGUGGUGCUGGUCCUCCACGGGUACUAUCCAGUACCGGUGGCGUUCACAGCUGCGAGAGAGAGAUACCGGGCCGGCCACCACCUGGCAGAAUAAGCGACCGGCCGCCGCUCGUACUCGACGUUGGAAAGUGCUACCGCGGUGGCACCUACUACAGGUACGUCGUCGUCGUCGUCGGGAAGGCCAAUUUAUCGAGGUCCAUGGACCCGGGGCGCUUCCUUGACGAGGCACUCAAGACGUCGGAACUUCCCCUACGGUACUUGCCGCCGCACUACUACUACGUUCGAGGCUUCGCCCUACUGCUGCACCUCCGCAGGAGUGGCCGAACACCAGGUACCCCGCGGUUGGGAAGACAUUCGAGGUACCUAAUGUACCGCGAGCUCUCCUCCUUCCGGUCCGAUGACAGGUACCAACUUCUCCACCUGUCCACGAUGGCCGCUAUGGCACUCUUUUACGCCCGCUGUCUCAACAGCAAGCUCCGCCACCGGCCGUGCCCCCGUCGUGUGCACAUGUGCUUCGACCGCUACGCACGGUACAGUGCGGUGAAGGCCACGGACUCCCUACGCGAGUACCCCGUCUAUGCUUGAAACUUCUUCAGUCACCCCCUCUCGUCCCUACGGUUGCCGUACAACCAUCGUGGCCCACGUAGUUUUCCCCUGUGCGGCUCCGAUUCCCAACACCUGGUUACGGACUCCGCUGUUUCCCGCAAGGUUGUUAUACCGCCACGGCGGCGGUAACUCUCGACGGGUACCGCCGGGGUCGCGCCGGACGGUCUCGUGCGGCAGCGGCAGGAGGCGAGCACCGAGAAACUCGUGAAGGAGGUGGGCAUAGGCUUACUGCAUCUGUUCGUGUAAAACCGCGCGGUUAGUCCCAAUAGUUCUUCGGUCCAAAGGUUGACCAAGUAGUUACGUUCCCAAUCCGAUACCUUCGGGUACUAUCUCUUCUACAUACGUCUUCUUUGGUAUGUUGUACUGCUGGUGCCACGAUCGUCACCGUCUCCACUUGGACGAGGGCGCCUAGUUGUGUUAUUGUUGAACCGUCGUACCUGUUGCCAAUGCUGUUGUUGUCUACUUUCAACGGUAGCGAAAUCGUCGUUUUUGUUGGGACCGCUGCCGAAGUAGGGUAGGAGGAAACAACGGCUGUCGUCUGUUAAAGAGGUACCGAUGAGUUCAGACGUGCCACUACCGCCGUCACCACACCACAGCGAAUGGAACCCUGAGGUCGUUGUUGUCCGCAAACGUAGUGGCCGCUACUAGUGCGUUGUUGUUAGCGGCGAGUACUAACCUCGACUCCUCCUUCUGUACCACGAUGGCAUAUUCUUGGAGUACCCCAGACUCGACGACGUACUAAAGCAUCCGAUCCUCGGAUCCUCUGUUCUUGUAUUAUAUCACGAUGUUGGGGAUAUCCACGAUGGCCUAAGAAUCCGUUGGACGUGGCUAACUAACUUAUACACAUAUAACAUCAUGUUGAAUUCAUUUUUCCAAUUAAUAUUUACAGAUACUGGUGAUAAAUAAAUAAAGCACGGACUUUUGAACAUCAUUCUUGAUUCUUUGCUCCAGAGUUGCAUUUUUAUGGAUACCAUUUUACACCAACCUACGAUGUAGUUGAAAUCUAACAGCAAGAAAACAGGAUAUAUACUCCCAAACGAAGAAGAGAACUGACGAUUUUUAAGAAGAGUUUUAGACCACCUCGUAAUUAAACUCUGGUGUAUUGUAUGAAGUGCUUUAUAACAUUGGUAAAAUUGGAUAGGAACUUUUAAGAAAAAAAACAAUUGAUAAAAGUGUUAGCUUCACCUAUAAAAACCAACUUUAUAUGAGGGAGGCAAGGAAAUAGAUUCCACGUAAAAAAGGUCGAGCCACUGGUUCCGUCGUUAAAAACCUCGUAGACCCUGUUAUGAUGGGGACCAUAAUCGAAUCGCAACCUUUAAUUAAUCCUUUUACUCGAGCGCGCCGUUUCUCUUUUUCCCUCCCUUCAGUGAACCGCGGUUGUCUUACGUCUAAAAUUUUAUACAAGAGCACAUGUUUUACUCAGUUGAGGGGGACCAAAAGAAGUAAAAGGGGAAGAAGGUCAUGCACCGGUUGUCUUUUGUACCAACUAGAUCUGAACGUAGGUCGUGGAUUAACCCUAAGUUAACUCCUCUUGCUUCUGGCCCGGACACUAGAACCUAUGCUGAUACUGACCGAUCGAAGGCUACUGAGGUUGCUGCUUCAACUCGUAAGGGAGCUACUGCCGUUACCUACGCUCGUACUAGCUGAAGUACGGUCGUUUCUUCGGCUGCUACUCCGCCUGGAGCAACUUGUGUGCGCUCGACGAAGACGCCUCGCAUGCGUGCGGCCGCCUUCUGCGCCCCGCGCCGGUUGCGUGGCCGCCCGCGCCUGCGCCCGUGCCGGUUCCGCGUCCGCCCGCGCCUGCGCCCCUGCCGGUGCCGGUUGCACGGCCGCCCGCCCCUGCGCGCGCUCCGGUUGUACGUCUACCUGGGCCGGUACGUCACCUGCGUUGCGUCCGAAGUGUCCACCUAGUGGCUCCGCGACCACCUGCUCCGGUGCGUCUCCUACCUUAUGUCACGUUCGGCGGCCACUUAGGUCGCCUCUUCACCACCGGCCACAGGAAAACGUGCUACCAAAGCGAGUCUUCAUCCUUCUGGAAGAUAGGACCCCGCUAGGCCGAACCAUGUUGGUCCCGGAUAGAGAAGCUGCCGCUUGUACAAGAAUAUCUAAGAGCACGCGCGGCCUGGCCACUUCAUAAGUAGGUCCCUUGCCAACAGUACAAGGGGACGGUAGAACGCUUGUAGUGGUGGCCACUGGUUCCUCAACUACGCCGUCCAAGAUACACGCGUGUGCUGAGUCCGGUAUCUCUUCUACGACGACCACCUACGCUACCGAGCCUUCACCUUCUUCGACGGUCAUACGUGCGCCCGGAGCCUGCACGAGCACCACGUUUACUACAGCACGAAUUUGCGCACGCACGCCGCGAUGAACGACCAGGACAGCAGCCCGCACCGGCACCUCCACUGCUGUUACGGCAGCCCCUGCGGUCACUGCGAGCUGUACCAGCAGCUGCGAACCCGAACCGACCAGCGUCGUCUUACGCGGACCGAGACUGCUUCACCGUUCCGCCGGCAUGGCUUCAACAAGGUAGAAGCGAUUUACCGUCGUCGUUACUACGUUGGUCGGGACGGCUGCAAUUGCUUCCACUGACAUGUCUUUCACAAAGUAGAAGUCAUUUACCGUCGCCGUUACUACGUUGGUCGGGGCGGCCGUUGCAAUUGGGUACGUAGGCACACCUCAACUUGUUUCCACAACAAGGUCUCUCACUGGGACCUCAUGUUCGACUUCAUCGACUGUGGCCGUCGUUGUUACCGAGUUUACGAUUAGUUUUUUUCUUCGCUUCUACCAUGGGUCUGGUAGUUUUCGUUCUUUAAAUACGGUACGAUAAUCUCGCCUGUUUAGUUCCGCAUGAUUUGGUUCCCCACCAACUGCUCCACCGUCUCGAAACAGUUCAAUUAAUGGCCUGACAAGUUUUGUAUACCAGCUCUCCGUUUUUUCGGCCACCAUAAGUACCUCAUCGUUUGUUUUCCCACUUUUGAACACCGGCGUUCUUCUAUGGCAAACUAAGUCUACGGUAUUUUUUCUAACUUAACUCGUUUUCUUGAUGCGAGUUUCUAGAACGAUUACUCGAAGUUUACCGCUUCUGUUGAAAUACCUCUUCCAACUUCCUCCCGUCUGACUUCGCGGUAUGUUUAAGUUAAUUUAGGUGUAACUGACUACUGUUGUUCCACCCAACCUAAGCCAAAACAAAUAGGUACAACCUACUCGUUUCACACGGACUUCUUGGGUCUAAAUUUCCGUGUUUACUAUAUUAUAAAAAGAUUUUCCAAAGUAAAACGUGACUCGUAAAAAAGAUCGAUGGGAAGGUUAACAACACUUAGUAUCCCUGUGAACAUCAAAUUUUUCAACACGGUACAAGAGUCAAGGCC